CCUUUUGCAACAAGGAAGCAGAAAAGACAAAAGCUAUUUGCCAGCCUGGUGCGGGAAUCAACAGAAUAGAGAGAUGGUUCUGCUGCAAUUUCCAUCAAGGGUGGCCAAGCCUCCAGUCUUCUUGUCCAGAAGUAAGUGGCAUCAACCAACUCUGCCAAACUGCAUUUCCUGCCUCCUGAUCUGGGGUCUUUUCCUUUUCUUUUUUCACACAGGGAGUAUUUCCAUCCUCUCUGUCCAGGCAGCUGAGCCUUGACAACCUCUCCUCCCCUUCACCAUGCCCCGACUGAUCUCCUAAUGGAGCCCCACCCCUCGAGUCCCUGGGCCUGUGGAAGGUUUUUUUUUUUUUUUUCUAGAUUCCAGAAGAUGCAGUAUUUUUCCUAAGGCAGGAGAAAACCCUAGUUCAUAGACAGCCAGGAUAAAAACCCUGGAAGACCAUGAGCCAAGGGUCCGUGAGACCAGAUGCUACAGCAAAUGUUCCAGAGAAAUGAACCUAGAAAAUGAUCCCGGGGUGCUCCUUGCGGGGGAACACAGGACUCCUCAGCUCUAUCUCUGUGGCUUUAACAUACAUCAGUUUCAGGGAUCUCCAGCCUCAACAGAGAUAAAUGCCAGCCAACCCAGCUCCCUGGCACCCCCACCUGGUCCUGCAAGAACAGCUGACUGGCCAUCUGCACGAUCUGGUCCACGUGGAUGAUGCCCCCGAUGCUGGUCAUCUCCGUGUCCGAGAGCAGCGUCAGCACCAUGAUGGCUUCCACCAGCAGCUGCCGGUACUCGGGCUGCGGCACGCGGUUCAGCACCGAUUCGACAUGGACAGCAAACUUGAUCUCAUGCGGGGUCAUCUACCAAAGGGACAGGCAGGCAACCACCAGUGAGAGGACAGAUGCAGCCCUAUCAAUCAAUCACCGAGUAACCAAGGGUGACCGUAGCAGUGCC
rnacentral:lncRNA from 1 species